rnacentral:tRNA from 1 species
GGCGGAGUAGCUCAGUCUGAUAGAGCAGGCGGCUCAUACCCGCUUGGUCGGUGGUUUAAAUCCACUCUCCGCCACCA